rnacentral:rRNA from 1 species
UACAGAGGUCUCAAGCGUUGUUCGGAUUCAUUGGGCGUAAAGGGUGCGUAGGUGGCGGGGUAAGUCAGGUGUGAAAUCUCGGAGCUCAACUCCGAAACUGCACUUGAUACUGCCUUGCUCGAGUACUGGAGAGGAGAUUGGAAUUUACGGUGUAGCAGUGAAUGCGUAGAUAUCGUAAGGAAGACCAGUGGCGAAGGCGAAUCUCUGGACAGUACUGACACUGAGGCACGAAGGCCAGGGAGCAAACAGG